rnacentral:rRNA from 1 species
GACGAACGCUGGCGGCGUGCUUAACACAUGCAAGUCGAACGGUGAAGCGCCUUCCUUUUUGGUGGGUGUGGAUGAGUGGCGAACGGGUGAGUAACACGUGAGUAACCUGCCCCCUUCUUCUGGAUAACCGCAUGAAAGUGUGGCUAAUACGGGAUAUUCUGGGUCUGUCGCAUGAUGGGUCUGGGAAAGAUAUUGUUUCGGUGGGGGAUGGGCUCGCGGCCUAUCAGCUUGUUGGUGGGGUGAUGGCCUACCAAGGCGGUGACGGGUAGCCGGCCUGAGAGGGUGGACGGUCACACUGGGACUGAGACACGGCCCAGACUCCUAGGGGAGGCAGCAGUGGGGAAUAUUGCACAAUGGGCGCAAGCCUGAUGCAGCGCCGCCGCGUGAGGGAUGGAGGCCUUCGGGUUGUGAACCUCUUUCGCCAGUGAAGCAGGCCUGCCUCGUUUGUGGGUGGGUUGACGGUAGCUGGAGAAGAAGCGCCGGCUAACUACGUG